UGGGGAAUCUUGCGCAAUGGGCGAAAGCCUGACGCAGCGACGCCGCGUGGGUGAUGAAGGCCUUCGGGUUGUAAAGCCCUGUGGGGAGAGAAGAAUAAGCAUUGGCUAAUAUCCAAUGCGAUGACGGUAUCUCCUUAGCAAGCACCGGCUAACUCUGUGCCAGCAGCCGCGGUAAUACAGAGGGUGCGAACGUUGUUCGGAUUUACUGGGCGUAAAGCGCGUGUAGGCGGUCGUGCAAGUCGGGUGUGAAAGCCCCAGGCUCAACCUGGGAAGUGCAUUCGAUACUGCGAGACUCGAGUCCCGGAGAGGAUGGUAGAAUUCUCGGUGUAGAGGUGAAAUUCGUAGAUAUCGGGAAGAAUACCGGUGGCGAAGGCGGCCAUCUGGACGGUGACUGACGCUGAGACGCGAAAGCGUGGGGAGCAAACAG
rnacentral:rRNA from 1 species